rnacentral:tRNA from 1 species
CACUGGGAAGCUUAAGAUGGAUCAAGCAUCAGCCUUUUAAGCUGAAGAAAGGUGCCUCCUACCACCUCCAGUGA